AAUGAACGUUGGCGGCAUGGAUUAGGCAUGCAAGUCGAGCGAGAAGUAUAGCAAUACACGGAAAGCGGCGGAAGGGAGAGUAAUACGUGGGAAUCUGCCCUUAGACCUGGGAUAGCAGCGGGAAACUGCUGGUAAUACCAGAUAAUGUCUAUGGACCAAAGGUGUGAUUCCGUCUAGGGAUGAGCCCACGUCCUAUUAGCUAGUUGGUAGGGUAAUGGCCUACCAAGGCGAUGAUGGGUAGCGGGUGUGAGAGCAUGACCCGCCUCACUGGGACUGAGACACUGCCCAGACACCUACGGGUGGCUGCAGUCGAGAAUCUUCGGCAAUGGGCGCAAGCCUGACCGAGCGAUGCCGCGUGCGGGAUGAAGGUCUUCGGAUUGUAAACCGCUGUCGGGAGGGAUGAAGUGCAUGGGGGCAAUCCCCUGUGUUUGACAGAGCUCCGGAGGAAGCACGGGCUAAGUUCGUGCCAGCAGCCGCAGUAAGAC
rnacentral:rRNA from 1 species